UACGUAGGGGCCUAGCGUUGUCCGGAUUUAUUGGGCGUAAAGAGCUCGUAGGCGGUUUGGUGAGUCGGGUGUGAAAUCUCCACGCUCAACGUGGAGGGGCCACCCGAUACUGCCAUGACUAGAGUCCGGUAGGGGAGUGUGGAAUUCCCGGUGUAGCGGUGAAAUGCGCAGAUAUUAGGAGGAACACCGGUGGCGAAGGCGGCAUCCUGGACCAACACUGACGCUGAGGAGCGAAAGCCAGGGGGGCAAACGGG
rnacentral:rRNA from 1 species